rnacentral:rRNA from 1 species
AACGAACGCUGGCGGCAGGCUUAACACAUGCAAGUCGAGCGCCCCGCAAGGGGAGCGGCAGACGGGUGAGUAACGCGUGGGAAUCUACCCAUCUCUACGGAAUAACGCAUGGAAACGUGUGCUAAUACCGUAUACGUCCUUCGGGCGAAAGAUUUAUCGGAGAUGGAUGAGCCCGCGUUGGAUUAGCUAGUUGGUGGGGUAAAGGCCUACCAAGGCGACGAUCCAGACCUGGUCUGAGAGGAUGAUCAGCCACACUGGGACUGAGACACGGCCCAGACUCCUACGGGAGGCAGCAGUGGGGAAUAUUGGACAAUGGGCGCAAGCCUGAUCCAGCCAUGCCGCGUGAGUGAUGAAGGCCCUAGGGUUGUAAAGCUCUUUCGCCGGUGAAGAUAAUGACGGUAACCGGAGAAGAAGCCCCGGCUAACUUCGUGCCAGCCGCCGCAGUAAUAC